rnacentral:rRNA from 1 species
AUGAACGCUGGCGGCGUGCCUAAUACAUGCAAGUCGAGCGAACGGACGAGAAGCUUGCUUCUCUGAUGUUAGCGGCGGACGGGUGAGUAACACGUGGAUAACCUACCUAUAAGACUGGGAUAACUUCGGGAAACCGGAGCUAAUACCGGAUAAUAUUUUGAACCGCAUGGUUCAAAAGUGAAAGACGGUCUUGCUGUCACUUAUAGAUGGAUCCGCGCUGCAUUAGCUAGUUGGUAAGGUAACGGCUUACCAAGGCAACGAUGCAUAGCCGACCUGAGAGGGUGAUCGGCCACACUGGAACUGAGACACGGUCCAGACUCCUACGGGAGGCAGCAGUAGGGCAUCUUCCGCAAUGGGCGAAAGCCUGACGGAGCAACGCCGCGUGAGUGAUGAAGGUCUUCGGAUCGUAAAACUCUGUUAUUAGGGAAGAACAUAUGUGUAAGUAACUGUGCACAUCUUGACGGUACCUAAUCAGAAAGCCACGGCUAACUACGUG